UCUGGAUCUGCUUUCAAUUGGAAAAGUCAAAGAAUGCAGCACGCAAGGAUGGAGUGUGGGGUAAAUGUUGUGGAAAACCACAUGUUUCGUGGAGUUGUCUUGCUUUUGUUUCUUGUUCUCCUUUGCUUAGAAACCACUUGUUUCUAUAACUACGGUUCUGUACAAUGCGUCCACUCUAGUAACUACCAUUUUCACAAAGAAAAACCUUAAAGUACAACUCAAAUUUAUUUUUUAUUGCAAACAUACUCUGAGAUGGGAACUGGAUAAAGUUUUUAUUUUGGCAUAAUGAGAACAAGGAAAGGUGUCUUCCGUCCACACAUGUUGGACUAAUUUGGGUGUAAGGGAGAAAAAAAACCCCCAAUGAGAUGUUUUUGAUGGAAUUGUCAUCUUUCUAGCCGUGCGUGCGUGUGACAAUGAGUAGUUGGCCUUGCUAUGUGCAUGUGAUUGUGACAUAGUUCAUGUGUGAGUUUGAGCAAGCUUUGUUUAUAUUUGGAGCAAGUUUUUCUAAAAGUCCAAUUAACAAGUUUCACCAGUCCUUUCAGUAACUUAUCAUAUGCUUAAAAUAUACAUAAUAAUUUUUUGAAUAAGUUCCAACCCAUUUUAAAGAACUGUUUCUUUCAAAAGUUGCAUGUUAAAAUUGUUUCUUAUUGUUAGUGAGAUUUUAGGUCCCCUGAUAUUUUGGUUCAUUUCUAGAAGAAUUACGUCGAUAAAGAAAAUAAAUUCAAGCCCACAUAUUAGGGGUGUGCAUCCGGACCGGAUUUUUUCCGGAUCCGGUCCGGAAAUCCGGAUCCGGGUGAAUCCGGGCGGUUAUCCGCCCGGAUUACACCCGGGCGGUUGAGAGAAAAACGGAUCCGGUUACGGAUCCGGUUUUUUAAUCCGGUAAUCCGUAACCGGAUAUUACAUCCGGAUUCUUUUUUCCUCUUGCCAAACGACACCGUAUUUCUUACAUUUCCUCUCCAAAACCGAACGAAAUUUCCUCUCAGCUCAGUCUCUCGUCUCCAAACCGAAAGAGAAACCCUAGCCGUGCCGUGCCGAUCCGAUUGCGAAUCUAUCUCUGUCUCGAAAUCGACGGUAUGCUAAUCUCUCUCUCUCUCUGUCUGUCUUUCUCUUGGUUUGUAUUUGAUUUUCGCUUGGUCUAUUGGGUUUGUGUUUGAUUUUCUGGGUUUAUUAUUUUGUGAAGCUGAUGUUUAUAUCUCUUUCGAUUUUUCAUGCUUUUGGUCUCUUUGUCUUUGUCUUUCUCUCGGUUUUCUCUCAGUUUGGUUGGAUUUUUCUGGGUUUUUGUUUGAUUUUCGCUUGCUCUAGUUUGGGUUUGAUUUUCUGGGGUUGGGUUUCUCUUUCGGUUUGGAGACGAGAGACUGAGCUGAGAGGAAAUUUCAGUGGAUGGGACGGUGGAGAAGCAGGGGAGAAGUGGGACGAAGAAGAUAGUAGUAAGGUGAUGGGGAUGGAGAUGGAAAUGGAAGGAGUGAGAUGGGCUGUUGAUGUGGGGAUAUGGGCCAUGUGUUUGGGGGUUGGCUUCUUGGUUUCUAAAGCUUCAGCGAGGAGGUUGAGACGCAGGAAAAUAUUUUGAGGCUUUUGUUUGCCCUUCCACUUAUAGUAAGCUUAUAGUUGGAAGAUCAAUUUUGAAAAACUUCACUCUAUACAGUCAUUUGUUAAGACAUUCUACAUUUUUUUCUUCUUAAGGUAACCCUCUUCCUUCAACUUCAGCAACUUAAUUUUUUGUUCUUGAUGGUGUGAGCUUUGGAGCUUCUGACUUUGCAUACACUGCAUAUUCAAUCAUAUGGUAUGAAGCUUUUGACUAACCCAUUGCUCUGUUUAUUUUUUAUCACCAUGGUUAUUUAUUGCCUUUGUCUAAUUAUUUAUCAUCUGCUGACCACAGGAAGCAGAAUAUUUUGGUGUUCCAUUGCCAAACAUAUCAAAAUAUUCCAUUGCCAAACAUAUUGCCAAACAUAUCAAAAUAUUCCAUUGCCAAACAUAUUGACAAUGGAAUAGAUAAAAACUCUGGUCAACAACUCUGGUCAACUCUCCAUUGCUCUUUCAUUCCUUUCAGAUGAGAAUUCUGGAGCAUUGGACUCUGCUUAUGUUCUUGCUCAAGAUCAGUAUGGCAAUUAUAUCAUGCAGCCUAAUAUAUAGGCAUUGAUUUCCAGGAACCAUACCUUGAAGAAGCACAUCUUGACGUUGUGAAUGAAAGUAUAAAGAGUUAUCCAAGCAAUGUGAUCAACUUUGCUAGUGCUGGCAGUGGUGUUUUCCCACAAAUUUUCCCCCAAAUUCAAGAUUCAAGAUGUGGAGUUCUUAUAUUGUGUUGAUUUAAUUAAAUGUGAUGUAUUAUUAUUUAUUUUGUUUGUAAAUUUAUGUUUUGUAAAUUUUGUUCUUAU